CGGUGGCCGUCGCCUAAUCGCCCGCCUGCGGCGAGCCGGGGAACCACGUUCGUGGGGUGCAUCCGCCUCAGCGCGGUAGGGAUCUUCCGUCCCGAACCCGUCAGCUAACCCGGUCGGCGGCUGACGGAAGGACAC
rnacentral:sRNA from 2 species